UACAGGCUUAACACAUGCAAGUCGAGGGGCAGCAUGGUCUUAGCUUGCUAAGGCCGAUGGCGACCGGCGCACGGGUGAGUAACACGUAUCCAACCUGCCGUCUACUCUUGGACAGCCUUCUGAAAGGAAGAUUAAUACAAGAUGGCAUCAUGAGUCCGCAUGUUCACAUGAUUAAAGGUAUUCCGGUAGACGAUGGGGAUGCGUUCCAUUAGAUAGUAGGCGGGGUAACGGCCCACCUAGUCUUCGAUGGAUAGGGGUUCUGAGAGGAAGGUCCCCCACAUUGGAACUGAGACACGGUCCAAACUCCUACGGGAGGCAGCAGUGAGGAAUAUUGGUCAAUGGGCGAGAGCCUGAACCAGCCAAGUAGCGUGAAGGAUGACUGCCCUAUGGGUUGUAAACUUCUUUUAUAAAGGAAUAAAGUCGGGUAUGGAUACCCGUUUGCAUGUACUUUAUGAAUAAGGAUCGGCUAACUCCGUGCCAGCAGCCGCGGUAAUACGGAGGAUCCGAGCGUUAUCCGGAUUUAUUGGGUUUAAAGGGAGUGUAGAUGGAUAUUUAAGUCAGUUGUGAAAGUUUGCGGCUCAACCGUAAAAUUGCAGUUGAUACUGGAUAUCUUGAGUGCAGUUGAGGCAGGCGGAAUUCGUGGUGUAGCGGUGAAAUGCUUAGAUAUCACGAAGAACUCCGAUUGCGAAGGCAGCCUGCUAAGCUGCAACUGACA
rnacentral:rRNA from 1 species